rnacentral:misc_RNA from 1 species
ACAGCCAAGAUAUUAACACCUUCCUGCAAAAAUUAAAUUAAAUUAAAUUAAUCAAUUCAAUUCAGUUAAUUAAUUUAAAUGGUUUAAUUCAAAUAAAUUUUUAAGAGAUUUUUACUUUUAAAUCGAUUCGAUUAAUUUAAUUAAAGUAAAUGAAAAUAUCGAACCUUCCCAAUUGCUAAGGCCUGUCAUAAGAGGAGGUCCAGGUCAGAGCAGUACCCCAACCCCUUUUCACCCCUGCCUUGCUGAAUCACUGUUGUUCCCUUCCCUACUUCCCAUCUCCUCCGCCGUCACUCUGGUCAACUGCAACAGCAACACCACCAGUUCCCCCCCUCUCCCACUCCUUCUUGUCGCUGAUCUCGCCCUCGCUUGCCUCCUGGUCCUUCUCCACAUUCUCAGAUAAUUCACCCUAAGUUUAAUCCUUGUAGGUGAUAGAUAUGUAUUAUUGUAUUGAUUAUUUGAUUUACUUCCCUGAAAUAAUUUGGCCAUUUUUAGCACUAUAUGUUUCUAUGUAAUUGCGAUUUUUAUUGAUGCCUUAUAUCCUCUAAAAUCAUUUUUUGAUAUAUUUUUGCUGCAACAUUGGCUUUUGGAUAGUUUCAUAUACCAUUGUGAGCUCGUCAUAAGAAAUUUUAUGUUGUGACCAGCGAGAAGACUUUUGAGAGCCCGAUUCUACAAGUACUUAAUGUUCUAGGAGAUUAUUUUUGACAUUGUAUGAUUGUGGUAUUUGAAGUUUGGUCACUGUGAGCAAGAUAUGGAGAAGAACCAAUAUUGGAGGUGAAAGUUUUGAUAAGCAUGCAGGCCGUUAGCUUGGAAUUGUUUUGACAUGGAAAGUGACUGAUUAUAACUCUGCAUUUCUGUGUUUUGAAAUUAGAAUAUGGAAUUUUGUUAUGUGGAUUAUGACUCUAGAUGCAAAUGUUUAAAUGCCUAAACCAGUAGCCUAAUGAGCAACUUGUUAUUCAGUUGAGAUGGUCUGGGAAAGAACUAAAAUUUGUUCUCCUACACAUUUCUUCCUUGAGAUAUAUUUUUAGUGCAUAUAACUGAAAUUUCUUUCCUAGUUCAUUCUGUGCCUACGAAAUGUAAUGGCCCAAACACAUUCAAGCCAACCAAUAAAGCAUUAUAUUUAGAAAGCAAGUUCAAAUGUGAAAAUUAAAGGGUUGUCAUUGAAUUCAAAUUCUUGAUGCUAAGAUAUUGACGAGUUGACCGAGGAUUGUUUUUUAAUUCAAACCAAGAAACCGGACCGAACUGAGAUUUUUGGUUUGGUUCUAUCUCACUAAUCAGUUCAGUUCUAUGCCCACCAAGUGUUCGCUCAAAUUGUCGAACCAGACAUUUUCGUGGAGAACACAAUAAUGAGAGCCUCUGCUCAAAUUCAUAAUCAUUUGAAGGCAAUUUCACAUAAUUCCCAGAUGGAGAGUAAGGUAAUAAAAGCUUGAUAGUUUCAGGUUUUCAUUCUUGCUUAAAGCUUGUAUUUUUUCUAGGCCUUAAUGGAGAAAAACCGGUUAUAUAAUUUGUUUCAUGGCAAAACAUGCCAACUAUAGAGAUAUGGAAGUAGGGGGUUGUAAAUGAUCAAAGUUGUGCUUUAAUGGCUUAGGUUUGGCUCGUCGAUAUCUUUAGAAGCUUGAGCUCAACCCGGGGUUUAAUAGUAGAGCUUGAGUUCGGCUCUUUCAAAAUUUAUGAAACUCAAGCUGAGCUCAACUUGAGUUCAUUUAUAGAAUAAACGAGCCAAGCUCGAUCUUGGCUCAUUUACUACCUUAGGCUUGAUAAGCUUGUGUAAAUGGGCUCGAUCUCUUAAAGCCUUUGAUGACAAGGUAAGCAUGGAUUUACAUUAGAGAUCAAGGGUUUGUGCAAUUUUGCAAUAGGUGUGACUGCUGCAAGUGGUUGAUGCUCUUGUCAUUAGUUCUCUUCCUUAUCAUGGCAUGAAACAAUGCUUUUCAUAGCUUCCCUACGUGCUUUCUAGCUCUUCUAUUUAUCAAGUGGGA